rnacentral:rRNA from 1 species
AUUGAACGCUGGCGGCAGGCUUAACACAUGCAAGUCGUGCGGGGUGAUGGUGCUUGCACUAUCACUUAGCGGCGGACGGGUGAGUAAUGCUUAGGAAUCUGCCUAUUAGUGGGGGACAACAUCUCGAAAGGGAUGCUAAUACCGCAUACGUCCUACGGGAGAAAGCAGGGGAUCACUUGUGACCUUGCGCUAAUAGAUGAGCCUAAGUCGGAUUAGCUAGUUGGUGGGGUAAAGGCCUACCAAGGCGACGAUCUGUAGCGGGUCUGAGAGGAUGAUCCGCCACCCUGGGACUGGGACACGGCCCAGACUCCUACGGGAGGCAGCAGUGGGGAAUAUUGGACAAUGGGGGGAACCCUGAUCCAGCCAUGCCGCGUGUGUGAAGAAGGCCUUAUGGUUGUAAAGCACUUUAAGCGAGGAGGAGGCUCUUUUGGUUAAUACCCAAGAUGAGUGGACGUUACUCGCAGAAUAAGCACCGGCUAACUCUGUGCCAGCCGCCGCCGUAA